rnacentral:misc_RNA from 1 species
GGGGAAAUUACCGUAGAAGUGUGCCGUGAGAACGAAAUUACGGAAACAGGGUAAAUAAUCCAAAAUUUACCGAAAUAGGGUGGGGAGAAAAUAAAACGCUAGUCAAGAUAGCGUUUUAGAGUGGGAUGCUAUCAACAAUGGCGUGCAAGCCCGGACGCUAGUCAAAGAAGCAUCCCACUGCCUGCACGCUGUUAACAGAAGCGUCCCAUGCCUGCACGCAAACAAGAAAAUCGUCCAACUGUCCUGCACGCUAACAACAGCAGCGUCCCGAGCGUCCAGCAAGCGUCC